GACGAACGCNGGCGGCGUGCUUAACACAUGCAAGUCGAACGAAGAGCGAUGGAAGCUUGCUUCUAUCAAUCUUAGUGGCGAACGGGUGAGUAACGCGUAAUCAACCUGCCCUUCAGAGGGGGACAACAGUUGGAAACGACUGCUAAUACCGCAUACGAUCUAACCUCGGCAUCGAGGAUAGAUGAAAGGUGGCCUCUACAUGUAAGCUAUCACUGAAGGAGGGGAUUGCGUCUGAUUAGCUAGUUGGAGGGGUAACGGCCCACCAAGGCGAUGAUCAGUAGCCGGUCUGAGAGGAUGAACGGCCACAUUGGGACUGAGACACGGCCCAGACUCCUACGGGAGGCAGCAGUGGGGAAUCUUCCGCAAUGGACGAAAGUCUGACGGAGCAACGCCGCGUGAGUGAUGACGGCCUUCGGGUUGUAAAGCUCUGUUAAUCGGGACGAAAGGCCUUCUUGCGAAUAGUUAGAAGGAUGAC
rnacentral:rRNA from 1 species